rnacentral:tRNA from 1 species
GCAGCGGUGGUGUAAGGCAUACCAUCCUGCCCGGAAAGCCGAAAGUGCGGGUUCGAGUCCCGCCCGGCGCA